rnacentral:tRNA from 1 species
GCGGGCGUGGUGGAAUUGGUAGACACACAGGACUUAAAAUCCUGAGAACGGUAACGUUCGUGCGGGUUCGAUUCCCGCCGCCCGCACCA